GCCUGGAUGGCUCAGUCGGUUAAGCAUCUGACUUCGGCUCAGGUCAUGAUCUCACGGUUUGUGAGUUCAAGCCCCAUGUCGGGCU
rnacentral:tRNA from 1 species